UACGUAGGGAGCAAGCGUUGUCCGGAAUCAUUGGGCGUAAAGCGCGCGUAGGUGGCCCCAUAAGUCCGCUGUGAAAGUCCAGGGCUCAACCCUGGAAUGCCGGUGGAUACUGUCGGGCUCGAAUCCGGAAGAGGUGAGUGGAAUUCCUGGUGUAGCGGUGAAAUGCGCAGAUAUCAGGAGGAACACCAAUGGCGAAGGCAGCUCACUGGGACGGUAUUGACGCUGAGACGCGAAAGCGUGGGGAGCAAACAGG
rnacentral:rRNA from 1 species